GUAGGUGGCAAGCGUUGUCCGGAAUUAUUGGGCGUAAAGCGCGCGCAGGCGGGGUCCUUUAAGUCUGAUGUGAAAGCCCACGGGCUCAACCGUGGAGGGUCAUUGGAAACUGGGGGACUUGAGUACAGAAGAGGAAAGCGGAAUUCCAAGUGUAGCGGUGAAAUGCGUAGAGAUUUGGAGGAACACCAGUGGCGAAGGCGGCUUUCUGGUCUGCAACUGACGCUGAGGCGCGAAAGCGUGGGGAGCAAACAGGAUUAGAUACCCUGGUAGUCCACGCCGUAAACGAUGAGUGCUAAGUGUUAGGGGGUUUCCGCCCCUUAGUGCUGCAGCUAACGCAUUAAGCACUCCGCCUGGGGAGUACGGCCGCAAGGCUG
rnacentral:rRNA from 1 species